rnacentral:rRNA from 1 species
GAUCAUGGCUCAGGAUGAACGCUAGCGGCAGGCUUAACACAUGCAAGUCGAGGGGCAGCGGGGAGUAGCAAUACUCCGCCGGCGACCGGCGCACGGGUGCGUAACGCGUAUGCAACCUACCUUUAACAGGGGCAUAACGCUGAGAAAUUGGUGCUAAUUCCCCAUAACAUUCGAGAAGGCAUCUUCUUGGGUUAAAAAACUCCGGUGGUUAAAGAUGGGCAUGCGUUGUAUUAGCUAGUUGGUGAGGUAACGG